rnacentral:ncRNA from 1 species
GGGCUGCUCCUAGUACGAGAGGACCGGAGUGGACGAACCUCUGGUGUACCGGUUGUGACGCCAGUCGCAUCGCCGGGUAGCUAUGUUCGGAAGAGAUAACCGCUGAAAGCAUCUAAGCGGGAAACUCGCCUUAAGAUGAGAUAUCCCCGGGGCUUCGAGCCCCUUGAAGGGUCGUUCCAGACCAGGACGUUGAUAGGUCAGGUGUGUAAGUGCAGUAAUGCAUUGAGCUAACUGAUACUAAUUGCCCGUAAGGCUUGAUCCU